rnacentral:rRNA from 1 species
CUGACCUCAAAUCAGGUAGGACUACCCGCUGAACUUAAGCAUAUCAAUAAGCGGAGGAAAAGAAACUAACAAGGAUUCCCCUAGUAACUGCGAGUGAAGCGGGAAAAGCUCAAAUUUAAAAUCUGGCGGUCUUUGG